GUAGCGGCGAGCGAAGCGGGAAGAGCCCAAUAUGAAAAGCCAGCUUGCUGGCGUUGUAGUUGAGCGUCUUUGGGGUGUCAGUUUGGGAAAGUGGCAUGAGAGUGCUCACCGGGGAGGGUGAAAGUCCCGUCCAUCCCAUCCAGGACACCUCGCACAAAGGCGUUUCAGACGAGUCGGGUAGCUUGGGAAUGCUGCUCUAAUUGGUGGUAAAUCUCAUCAAAGGCUAAAUACUGGUGGGAGACCGAUAGCGAACAAGUACCGUGAGGGAAAGAUGAAAAGUACUUUGAAAAGAGGGUAAAAAGAACCUGAAACCGUUACGGGGGAAGCGGAUUGCGUUGGCCUGGUGGCUGCCUGUGUGUUCAGCCAUUUAUGGUGCAUUGAUACAGGUGGUUAUUCGUCGUGGCUUUUCGGUAGCUGAUAAUGAGCUGCUGAAGGGUGAGGGCUCCCCUAUUUUUUUUGGGUGAGGACGACGGAGUGACGACGCGAUACGACCCGUCUUGAAACACGGACCAAGGAGUCUAGCGCAGGUGCGAGUCAAAGGGUGUUAAAACCUGUGGGCGUAGUGAAAGCGACUUUUUUUUAUAUUGUAAAAACGAGCAGUUUGGGGCGGCAUAGAAUCGUUGAUUCUAGGUCUGACCUUGAGCAGUUGCGCUGGGACCCGAAAGAUGGUGAACUAUGCCGGAGUAGGGCGAAGCCAGAGGAAACUCUGGUGGAGGCUCGUAGCGGUGCUGACGUGCAAAUCGCUCGUCGAACUUGGGUAUAGGGGCGAAAGACUAAUCGAACCAUCUAGUAGCUGGUUUCCUCCGAAGUUUCUCUCAGGAUAGCAGGCCGACACAUUUUUUUACGUUGUUUUGUGCGGUAAAGCGAAUGAUUAGCGUAUUCGGGGGCGUUUAGCCUUUGGACGAUUCUCAAACUUUAAAUGCGCAAGGGUACCGGUGCUUUGUUGAGCGGUACCGUUAAAAACGUCGGCCUUGUGGGCCACUUUUGGUAAGCAGAACUGGCGAUACGGGAUGAACCGUAAGCAUGGUUAAGGUGCCAAACUGCCCGCUUAUAGAUCCCACAAAAGGUGUUGAUUCAUCGAGACAGCAGGACGGUGGCCAUGGAAGUCGGAAUCCGCUAAGGAGUGUGUAACAACUCACCUGCCGAAUGAAUCAGCCCUGAAAAUGGAUGGCGCUUAAGCGGGCGACCGACACCAUGCCGUCUGUACAAGAUGAAUGUUUACAGAUGAGUAGGAGGACGUGGCGGUCGUGUCGAAGCAUGCGUGCGAACGCGUGUGGAACGGCCGCUAGUGCAGAUCUUGGUGGUAGUAGCAAAUAUUCAAGCGAGAUCCUUGAAGGGCGAAGCGGGGAAGGGUUCCACGCAAACAUUGAUUGGGCGUGGGUGAGUCGUUCCUAAGCCGAGUGGCAAUUGCUAAGUAGCGGCGAAAGGGAAGCAGGUUGACAUUCCUGCACACGGAUGUGGAGGCGGUGACGCUUUAAUGAGGGCGAAGACGCUGGCGAUGGCGCUGGGCAGAGAUUUCUUUUCUGUUUGACCGCUGAAGCGCGCGGUGUGGAAUCCGCUUGUCGGGAGAAACACGCGCGUUCGGGCAGAGCGCCGGGGCUAUUCCGGCGUCCAGCUCGCCAUCGACGGCCCUUGAAAAUUUGCCUGCUGGAAUAGUUUUUUUAUUCUAUGAAGAUCCACGCCGUGGCGUACCGAUAACCGCAUCAGGUCCCCAAGGUGAACAGCCUCUGCUCUAUAUGAAUAAUGCAGGUAAGGGAAGUCGGCAAAUUGGACCCGUAACUUUGGGAAAAGGGUUGGCUCUAGUGCUGCGUGGGAGUAGUUGUCGGGUGUGGGCGUUUUUGGACUUGCUGAGCGAGCGCGAAGAGGGCGUUCGCGCUUCUUUUUGUGUUCAAUUGGCGAGUCUGGAUCCGCCUCGCUCGACGACGCCCACAGCAUGCAGCAGACUAGAACUGCAACGGGCAAAGGGAAUCCGACUGUUUAAUUAAAACAAAGCAUGCGA
rnacentral:rRNA from 1 species